GCCAUCAUAGCUCAGUUGGUAGAGCAGCGGUUUUGUAAUCCGAAGGUCGUAGGUUCGAUUCCUACUGAUGGCA
rnacentral:tRNA from 1 species